rnacentral:rRNA from 1 species
AUGAACGCUGGCGGCGUGCCUAAUACAUGCAAGUCGAGCGAAUAGACGAGGAGCUUGCUCCUCUGACGUUAGCGGCGGACGGGUGAGUAACACGUGGAUAACCUACCUAUAAGACUGGGAUAACUUCGGGAAACCGGAGCUAAUACCGGAUAAUAUAUUGAACCGCAUGGUUCAAUAGUGAAAGACGGUUUUGCUGUCACUUAUAGAUGGAUCCGCGCCGCAUUAGCUAGUUGGUAAGGUAACGGCUUACCAAGGCAACGAUGCGUAGCCGACCUGAGAGGGGGGACGGCCACAACGGAACGUAGGCACGGUCCCAGCUCCUACGGGAGGGAGCCGUAGGGAAUCCUCCGGAAUGGGGGGAAGCCUGGACGAGCAACGGCGCGUUAGUUGUGGAAGUCUUCGGAUCGGUAAACUCUGGUAAUAGGGAAAAACAAAUGGUGAAGUUACUAAUCACGGCUUGACGGUACCUAAUCAGAAAGCCACGGCUAACUACGUG